UGUGAUGUUGUUCCUCCCCAUCUUUUAGCUCCCCCUACUGCUAAAACUCGGGCUUUCAGCCGUUCUGAAGCGUCUCACCUCCCUAGAUUCCUCCCCAGCACUACACAGCUGCUUUUCUCCCUAACUCUGGUGUGAAGUUCCCCUCUGCACCAGAAAACCCCCAAACCACUUUCCUAGCAGCAAGUGUAUUGAUUUUCAACAUUCCAUGACUGAGCCUUCCCCUCUGAAGUUAGAAAUGUUAGCAAACAUUCCAUGGCAUGCUAUGGGUGCCCGUGCCAUCACCCGCUUGAUGUUAAGUAAGAUGUUCACAUGGAAAAUUCACUAGUUGUGCCACUCCCCUUCCCAAUGUGGUAUUAUUAUUGUCCUCUGUGCUUCCCACUCCCUACAGCGGUUGUCACAACAGCCAUAUGAAGUAGGCCAUAACUUCCAUUUUAUAGGGAGGAUUUUUAAUGGCUUUUCUACAGUGAGAAUGACAACCAUCUGGUUUCUAGUCAUUGGAUCCCACUGGACUUGUUUUACCAUGUAAAAUACUAGUUUGGGUCAGAAGUCCCGGUUUUUACCCCAGCUGUCAUGGAAAUGACAAAACUAACAGCUAUAAAGGAACUACCUUAUACUAGGCCUGACCACAGGGCUCUCUCUAGCCUGGGGACGGGGGAGGGAUGCCCUCCAGAAGCUGCUGGACUAUAACACCCAUCAUCCCUGAUUAUUAGCCAUGCCAGCUGAUGCAAGUUCAAGUCCAAUAACAUAUGGAUGACAAUAGGUUCCCCAUCCCUGCUCUAGCCUAGUAUGUCUACAGUGGCUGGGCAGUGGUGUUAAGGAAAUCUUUCCCAGCACUGAGAACUGGAGAUGUGACGGAUUGAACAUGAAGCCUUAGAGACUCCAACCAGGUGCUCUUCCACCAAAAAUGUAUGGCAAAGGAGCUUUGGCACUGGAGAGAACUUUGCCAUACAUUUUGGGGGUAUCACCAGUGGCUAUCUUAAAUCCCUGGCCAUGUGAGAAACAGGUAGGGUCCCCUUUCUCCUGUGCCUUGAACAGCAGCUUGUUCUGCUGUGACAUGCAUAGGAGAUGGUAAGGAAAGCCUCACUGGCUGAUUUCUCCAGGGAUGGGGAACCUCUGGUCCUCCAGGUGUUGCUGGACUACAACAUCCAUUGUUCCUGACCACUGGUUGUGCUGUCUAAGGGCUGAUGGGUGUUGCAGUGCAACAUCUGGAAGGUCAUCUGUUCUACAACUGUAGGCUGUAGGAACAGGCCAGGAUGUUCUUGCUUUUGAUCCUCUGGUCCUCUGGCCAUUUUAGGAGUCAAUUGCUAGGUUAAAUGUUGCAAAUGACCCAGCAAAUGACCAAGGCAGGGUGCAGCCAGGCCUUUCUAGUGCACAACCCAGCGACAGAAGAUAGGAAUGAAGGAUUUUGUUGAGAGAGCACCUUUUGCUUCAUCUUUUGAGGGCAGCCUGAAUUGGGACACCUUCUUCCCGUGUUACUUGAAGUUCGAAACUGUGGAUAUAUCAGCCAUUUUGUCCCAGAGCACAUAUAGUUCCCUCAAACAAGGCCUCUCUCUCUCUCCCCACUGCUGCCUUAUUUUUUGCUAACCAAGCUCAGAUUUAUGUUGUUUGUUUCGGCUGUUGUAUGACUGUGUACAUAUUGUAUUUAGAAAUGGCAUUCAGAUGUGUACAUAAUAUAAUAUAUAUGAAUUUAACCAGCAUCUCCUUUGCAAUCACACACCUUUGCCAUGGAGGCUUGUUUUUGUCUUGUUUGUUUCAUUUUGUUUUUUUACAUUGACAAAUGACCAAUAAAUUCUGUUGGUUUCUUUUCUC